UCUCCGUUGGUGAACCAGCGGAGGGAUCAUUACCGAGUUUACAACUCCCAAACCCAAUGUGAACCAUACCGAACUGUUGCCUCGGCGGGGUCACGCCCCGGGUGCGUCGCAGCCCCGGAACCAGGCGCCCGCCGGAGGGACCAACCAAACUCUUUCUGUAGUCCCCUCGCGGACGUUAUUUUUACAGCUCUGAGCAAAAAUUCAAAAUGAAUCAAAACUUUCAACAACGGAUCUCUUGGUUCUG
rnacentral:misc_RNA from 1 species